CCUACGGGAUGCAGCAGUGAGGAAUAUUGGUCAAUGGACGAGAGUCUGAACCAGCCAAGUAGCGUGAAGGAUGACUGCCCUAUGGGUUGUAAACUUCUUUUAUAAAGGAAUAAAACGAGGCACGUGUGCCUUUUUGCAUGUACUUUAUGAAUAAGGAUCGGCUAACUCCGUGCCAGCAGCCGCGGUAAUACGUAGGAUACGAGCGUUAUCCGGAUUUAUUGGGUUUAAAGGGAGCGUAGAUGGGUUGUUAAGUCAGUUGUGAAAGUUUGGGGCUCAACCGUAAAAGUGCAAUUGAUACUGGAAGUCUUGAGUACAGUUGAGGUAGGCGGAAUUCGUGGUGUAGCGGUGAAAUGCGUAGAUAUAACGAAGAACCCCGAUUGCGAAGGCAGCUUACUAAACUGUGACUGACAUUGAGGCACGAAAGUGUGGGUAUCAAACAGGAUUAGAUACCCUAGUAGUC
rnacentral:rRNA from 1 species